GCCUGGCAAACCAGACAGUUUGUGAGUGAGGAAUGUUUAUAGGCAACAUUUGUAGCAAGUCCACUGUGGUCUUUAUGUUCCUUAAUGGUGAAAAACCAGGAUCCUGGUUACUGUUUAAAGUAGGGGGACCUUUAAAAAUGAAAAUAUUUAUUAGGACUAUUGUUUCCCAGGCAUGUUGCCAGUUGUUCAUUGACUAGAACCUGAGAAGGAAAACUUCAGAAGAGAGAGGGUUUACUUUGCUUUGUGGUUGUGAGAUUUCCAGUCUAAAACCGAGGUAUUGAAGAUGGCUCUGGAUGUCUGAAUACGUUAUUUAUCAUGGUGGGACUGUGUAGCAAGACAAAAACAAAAAAACAAAAAACAAAAAAAACCAAACAAACAAAAAACAAAAAAACACUUGCAUCAGCAGCCAUGGGGCAAAAAAAAAAAGCUGAGAAGAGGUUAGGAUUCUAUAACCAUCCCAUCCCCUGAAUCUGGCAUCAGUUAUUAAAAGACCUCCUAGGUUAUUGUUUGAUUUAUCCUCUGAAGCUUGUGCAUCUGCCUCCUAAAUGUUCUACUCCAUCCUAGUAACUUCACCUCAGCAGCUAAGUUUUCUGAGAACACUAAUCUAAAAAUGAUAGCCUAUGCGCACCUCUGUUAAGACUAAUCAAUUGCAUGUAAUGAUAUGAGUUUUGCAGGAUUCUCUAUUUCAUAUACCUAUGGAUAAACACUUUUGAGAGGCUAAGGUGUCUUAUUGAGAAGAACAUUGUGAGGCAAGGAAUUUAACUGCCUGGGACUUACUGUACCACAGAGAAACGGGAAGAAUGUCUUGGUACCUGCUUUUGCUCUACACUUGAAAGUCAAGAGAGUUUAAAAAGAAACACAGAGACACACAGAUGAAAUAUAAGGUCCUGGGGACUGGAUAGCCAUCUCCAUGGUUAAGAGCAUGUGCUGCUCUUACAGAAGAAGAAAGUUCAAUUUCUAUCACCCUUGUUGGGUGGCUCACAACCUCUUGCAACUCUAGCUCCAGGGGACCCAAUGCCCCUUUCUGCCCUUCAUGGGCAUUAUGCCCAAACUCAUAACCUACACUCAAAUACAUACAUAUACACACAGUUUAAAAAGACAUUAAAUAUUUAUAAAAAAGAAGUAUAGGGGUCUGUGAAAAAUAUGGGAUCAUGAUGCUUGGAUACACUUCUCUCAUUAUGUAUGAUAACAUUUUUCUAAGUCAACUACUUUAGUUUAUUACAGCUGGUUUAAGAGCACACUUUAAAAAUAGACUUUAGUAUAGAAAAUAAUUUCAGACAACUUCACAUUGCUUUUGGGAAUAUGGAAAAACAUUCAGCUUGCAUAGAACCGAUUCCCAUACAGCAUUGUCUUUGAAUCUCAUAAUAGCUUACUAUUGGGCAUCAUGACUGUCAACUCUGGAAUGAUUCUGUAUUCUAAGCAAAUGCUUUGGAAAAUAGAUGGGAGAUUGCUUUAUGAAACUAACCUCUCUCCUGGUGCCAUGUAGGAUGAGGUGAUUCAAAUCAUACCAUGUCAAAGAACUACACAGGAUACACAGAGCACACUAAAACCUUUGGGCAAGAUUUACAGGCUUAAGCAUCUGAUUUCAAGUUAGCUUAGCUGGUUUAUACUCUUCCUCUUCUCAGUAUCAUCCAUUCUUAAAUGGAAACCAUUGUAUGGAAAGUAACCAGGAAAAAGCCAGAAGACAAGAUAGAUUUGACAGAAACCAGGGGUAUCUUCAUGUACAGUGUUUAAGAAGGAAGAUAAAGAGGUGAAUUUUUUUAAGUGAGGACUGUUCUUUGAAUAGGCAUUGCUCCUUAGCCUUGUCUCAUAUUUCAUCUUCAGGAGGGCCUUAAUUUAUUCUUUUCAUUAUAUAAAGAAUGCCUUAUUUGGCCUUUUCAUGAAAACAUAUAUGACAUUCUCUUCUGACAACCAUGCAUGUGAAAAGAACAAGUGCUAUUUCUAUCCACUGACUAUAUGGACAUAUUCAUAGAAAUCCUAAGGUUUUAUAGUACUUUGUGCUUCUAAUCCCAAAGACCCAAAGGAUUUAGGUCAAUAAAUGCAUCAUAUUCCACUGUCUUCUCAGUUAAGUGACUUACAUGGGGUCUUCCAUCCCCAGUACAACUCAAAUGAUAUCAUUUUCAUUCAGAUAUAGGGGAACAAGCCUACAUAAAAUAAGAUCACCAGCCUGUGUGUCAGUCACUCAAAUUAAUCUUAAUGAUUCCUUCUCCCUCUGGCUCCUUUAUAUUUCAAGUCACAUAAUAUUGUAAAAUAAAAUAAAAAUUUGUUUUCAAAUCUAUAUUUUAAAAAAUCUUUUAUUUACUUUAUAUCUGAUCACAGUCCCCUCCGUCCUUUCUUCCAAGCCCACUGCAACAACUCCCUACAGCCUUUGCCCCUCCACUUCUCCUCAGAGAAGGACAUUGUUCCCCUGGGUCUCACCCUAUCCUGGGGCACAGUCCCAGCAGGUCCAGGCACAUCCUCUCCCACUGAGAAUCCAGAUAAAUUUUUGAAAGAAUUUAGAUGAGUCUACUUAUAUGUUGACUACUAUAUAUGAAUAUAUUACUAUAUGUGAAUAUAUAUUACUUAAUAUGAAGCCUGUAUACAAGCGUGUGCAUGCACAUAAGUAUCUGGGGGUAUGGUUUUACUGCCAGAGUAGACUUUUACUCUCUAGUUUAUAAUGAGAUUGAUUUGAACUUAAAUAUUUCUAAAAAGAAAAAAAAAGGAUCAUUUUUAUUUUGUUUUUCUUGAUAUAAUCAAUUCAUGCUUGAACUUUGAAGUGUGUUAGAGAUUUUUGCACUUGCCUUCCCAUGAUAUUAUUGCAUGUGCCUUUGGAUAUGGAAAAGGUAUGUAAUUAUAAAAUCACUGAACUAAGAAGACAGAGAGUAUUUUGUAUCAUGCUUAGUGAGUAUUUUUCCUACUUUCCACUUUUUAUAAAAAUUUCAAAGCACCAAAUGGACCUUCUUGCUUAAAGUAACGCUAUAGCUGAUUGAUUGCUUUAAAUUUGUCUUUUUGUUCCCUGAAAACAACAAAAGUAAUUCCUAAAAAUAAAAUACAGUGUUUUAGAUUCUUACUUCACAAUGGCGAGACACUGUUGGUACAUGGCAUGGAUGUAUGUGAGGGAGAAGACAUGGUUGUGUGAAUUCUCCAUUUCUCUCCAAUCUUGCACCCUCUGAUGAAUACAAGGUAAAUGUGCUGACAUUGGAAAUGUAAAUGAAGAAAAUACCUAAUUAAAAAAAUGGU
rnacentral:lncRNA from 1 species